CAGGAGGGAAGAAAGACUAGCCGCCAUCUUGAGUGCGGGCAAGAAGGAGUUUCAGUGCUUUAUUUUCCUCGUCUGUGCUUCUCGCUAAUUCGCCAUAGAGCGAUGGACCCUUUUCCUUAAUCCGUUGGCUAGACGAGGCAGAGCCAGAGAACAAAAGUAACAGGGGAAGCCUGGCGAGCACGGACGGACGGGGGGGGAGGGAAUUUAAGAAGAGGGUUGGCGUGCAAAAGAGCAGGACGCGAGCUCUUACUUACCCUCUGCCAUGGCAAGGGCGGCCAACUUGGAUCUGACUACUCGGAGAUCACAAUAAUAGAGUAAACUUCUGGUAUAUCAGGUAUAUAAUUUUUGAGAUAACAAUGUGUAGAGCUGGAUGAACACAGCAGGCGAAGCAGUAUCAGAGGAGGAGGAGGAGGAGGAAUGCUGACGUUUCGGGCCUGAACCUUUCUUCAGAUUUCAUGUGGUGCCCUUGAGACACUGCAGAGAAAGGAGAGGGUGGAUUGUGUUCAGUUGUUUCCUAAGCAGACUGUCGAAACCAAUGGGUAGAAUGCUUCAUAACCGGAAUUCUCCAGCAAGCACCAAGACAUCACUUGGCUUGUGGUGAGAAACCUGAGAGAUCCUUCUUGUACACCGGGAUGCUCUGCGCUGCCACAUGCUGCGCUCAAAACGGCUGUGGGAGGGUAGAAACUGUCACACAUUUCCUGCAGGAGCGUGCUUUUACAAAGGAAAUCUGGAGAAAGAUGGAGUUGAUUUUGUCCAGAUUAGUCCCAAACAGUUCAAUGACACAUCUCUACACCUUGUUCCUCAAGACACACCCAGUGUCAAACAUUGACUGUCCCUGGAGAACCAUCAACUCCUGAAUGAUGCUCUUUAGUCUGCCUGAAACUUGUUGGACUUCCAGAGCAAGGAGUUGACCUUGACUGAAAGUUACAGACUGGCAUAUUCCAAGUUCCCAGACGAUGUGCUGAGUGGUAGCUGCUGCCAAGGUGCAGUGGGGAAUGACCACCAUCUAAGAUCUUUCUGCCAAAGUUAAAUGGGGGUCUGUUCAGUUAUCAAACCCUCUUAGUGCUUCAAAUGCGUGUUAAUAUAGUCUUGUAUAGUUAAGAAAUGCCUUUGGUUUGGUUGCUGGAUAGAGUCAAACUCCAAUUAUUUUUAUUUCUUCCUACUUUUCUGUAGAGAACUGUAUUGGUUUAA